rnacentral:ribozyme from 12 species
GGCAGCAAAAAUAGAAAAACAGGAAAAAAUGGUACAAGACGUCUUCGCAUGUGUCAUGUGGCCAUAAAUCAUUCUCUUCAUCUAUUCAGACAUUACAAGUGUGAAUCUUUUUCUGAGCAGGACAGCAGCGAAUGAAAUCUACUGCCUUAAAAUUAUAGUGUAAGCAAAGCAGCAUCUCCAUUUU